rnacentral:misc_RNA from 1 species
UGAGGGAGCUGCGCAUUUUAGCAGCGAUACUGUUGUUGUUUCAGAGAUGAUUGUUAUCGGGUUGUAUGUUUUCCAUUAUUUUAAUGUUAGAUCUGUCUGUCUUAGUGAUGAUUUUGAAUCCAAUCCAGUUGUAUUUUUUAGCUGUUAGCCCACGUGGAGAGAGAAUAUGUGGGGUCUGCUCCGACGAUUAUUUUGUUUAUUUAACGGUGGUCGAUCUUUCUAGAGUAGAAAUUUGUGAUUUAUUGCCUGGCGACUGGCCCGAGUGGGAGAACUUAUGUCAUUCUGUGAGGUGAAAUGUGAAGCCAAUAAGAG